GUAUGUGAGGGCGAUCUGGCUGCGACAUCUGUCACCCCAUUGAUCGCCAGGGUUGAUUCCGCUGAUCUGGCUGGCUAGGCGGGUGUCCCCCUCCUCCCUCACUGAUCCAUGUGCGUCCCUCCUGAAGCUGCCUGCUCUGCUCGGUGGAAGAGGACGACCUCACCCCCCCCCCCUCACUGAUCCAUGUGCGUCCCUCCUGAAGUUGCCUGCUCAGUGGAAGAGGACGACCUCCCCCCCCGACCCCCGGGGAGAGGACCGGUCUUCGGUCAAGGGUAUACGAGUAGCUGCGCUCCCCUGCUAGAACCUCCAAACAACCACAAUGAUACAGAGUAUAUUCACCUAGUCUGGAUGUUAAGAAAGAUGAACCCGGAGGGCUGGGGGCAGCAAAAAUAAACAUUUAAGCUCAUACCU
rnacentral:snRNA from 1 species